rnacentral:rRNA from 1 species
CCCGCAUCCUGCCACAUCUACCCACAUAAUUUAGUGGGACCAAAUGGGCUGCCCACUUAAUUUAAGUGGGAUUAUGCGGGUUGCCACAAGCCCACAUACUCCGCAGCGACAAACACAACAAUUGCAAGCUAGCUGCAGUACAGAGUACAGGGCGUGUCCAGAGGCUACAAACAUACUGGAUCAAGGCAUGUACGACUAGGCCACAACGACGUCGAGGACAUGGGGAGGAGUAGGCGGCGUGCGUCCAGCUGCGAUUUUGGCAGGAACAGCUGCUACUGCUGCUCGGUCUGCUUGGUCGAUGGUGGCGUAACCAACACGGGCUCACUGAUGGCAAGAACUGGACAGGAGAACGACAACGUAUCGAGCCCGCCUGCAUGCGGCGUACGUAAGGCGCUUGUAGACAGCGAUGUUGUGGUGUUCAUGAUGGAAGUGGGCGAUGGUGCCGCGGCCACGGCGGCUCCGCCCUAAUCUCUUCUGCAUCAUCGCAGAGAUGUGGGUUUGACGCGGCGUCCGCGGGAUAACCCACAUAACCCACUUAUCUGGCUGGCCUAACCGUGGGUGUCCACGAACGCUAAUUAUGUGGGCUUUUAUGUGGGCAUCGCGGACAGCCCGCGUCCACUUGCAGCCUGA